rnacentral:misc_RNA from 1 species
GAUGAAGAACGUAGCGAAAUGCGAUAAGUAAUGCGAAUUGCAGAAUUCAGUGAGUCAUCGAAUCUUUGAACGCACAUUGCGCCCUGUGGUAUUCCGCAGGGCAUGCCUGUUCGAGCGUCAUUUCAACCCUCAAGCCCCGCUUGGUGUUGGGCCCCGCCCGCCGUGGCCGGCCCUAAAGACAGUGGCGGCGCCGCCUGGCCCUCAGCGUAGUACAGCUCUCGCUCCAGGGUCCGGCGGCCGCCUGCCAGAACCCCCCCAACUCUGUGGUUGACCUCGGAUCAGGUAGGGAUACCCGCUGAGAUUAAGCAUAUCAAUAAGCGGAGGA